AUUGAACGCUGGCGGCAGGCCUAACACAUGCAAGUCGAACGAGUGGCGGACGGGUGAGUAAUGUAUGGGCAACUGCCUGGUGGAGGGGGAUAACUAAUGGAAACGGUAGCUACUAACGCCUACCAUAAGAUGUGUCCAGAUGGGAUUAGCUUGUUGGUGGGGUAACGGAUCACCACGGCGCAGAUCCCUACCUGGUCUGAGAGGAUGAACAGCCACACUGGAACUGAGACACGGUCCAGACUCCUACGGGAGGCAGCAGUGGGGAAUAUUGCACAAUGGGCGAAAGCCUGAUGCAGCCAUGCCGCGUGUAUGAAGAAGGCCUUCGGUUUGUAAAGCACUUUCAGCGGGGAGGCGUUACCCGCAGAAGAAGCACCGGCUAACUCCGUGCCAGCAGCCGCGGUAAUAC
rnacentral:rRNA from 1 species